CCUUUGGUUAGGCGUACAAGGAAGAGCCACUGUCUCGAUUUCUCCACGAUCCUUUAAGUGAGGUGAAACCCAUUCACCAAGAUGUUAAGGUCAGGUGAGGUGAACCCCGUUCACCCAGAUGUUAAGGUCAGGUGCACGCCUUUGGUUAGGCUUAAAAGGAAGGAGGAAGUCGCUGUCUCAAUUUCUCCACGAUCCUUUAGGUGAGGUGAACCCCAUUUACCCGGAUGUUAAGGUCAGGUGCACGCCUUUGGUUAGGCUUAA